rnacentral:rRNA from 1 species
GAUGAACGCUGGCGGCGCGCCUAACACAUGCAAGUCGAACGGCACCCCUCUCCGGAGGGAAGCGAGUGGCGAACGGCUGAGUAACACGUGGGGAACCUGCCCCCUCCCCCGGGAUAGCCGCCCGAAAGGACGGGUAAUACCGGAUACCCCGGGGUGCCGCAUGGCGCCCCGGCUAAAGCCCCGACGGGAGGGGAUGGCUCCGCGGCCCAUCAGGUAGACGGCGGGGUGACGGCCCACCGUGCCGACAACGGGUAGCCGGGUUGAGAGACCGACCGGCCAGAUUGGGACUGAGACACGGCCCAGACUCCUACGGGAGGCAGCAGUGGGGAAUCUUGCGCAAUGGGGGGAACCCUGACGCAGCGACGCCGCGUGCGGGACGGAGGCCUUCGGGUCGUAAACCGCUUUCAGCAGGGAAGAGUCAAGACUGUACC